rnacentral:misc_RNA from 1 species
AAGUCGUAACAAGGUUUCCGUAGGUGAACCUGCGGAAGGAUCAUUAACACGUAUCCAACGCAUCUUUAGAGAGCUCUUGUAAGCCCAUUAUGAUAGCAAUCCUGGUAAAUCAGUGGCGAAAGUAGUCUUUGAUUCAGGACCUCUGUCUGGUGAGAACCUAGCGGUAAGCGAGCAAUUGAGCCUUUUAUCGUCAGUCUGGAGUCCUGGCCGGGCGAAUGAAAGUGUCGCUGGACGGUUUCUAGGGUAAGGCUUCGCCAUCACUGGAGGCUCAACACGGGCCGGUGGACAGACUGCAGGGUCCCCAUGCCCCUUUAUGACGACCAAGUUAAAUAAGGCCUCUACCACAUAGCAAGUGCGCCGUGGUAGAGGAAAACGUACAACUGUUAACAAUGGAUAUCUUGGUUCUC